CACAUCCGCACAACACUGUAAGAAGCAGCGCGUGAUCUGGAGGUGGGGAGUGGGGGGUCAGUGACGGCCAUUCUGAGUACAGGAGGAAGUCCUCAGUAGCCUUGGCAGGAAGACUUCUUCCCACAGAGGGGCCCAGCCCCGCCUCGAAGACUCGAGAUUCUGGCCUCCAGGUUCAUCUUCCCAUUGACAGCACUAGCACUCUGCAGGGAACUUGGGCCAAGGAGGGUGUCCAGGAGAGGGAGCCCCAGGAGAAGCUCAUACUCUCCAGGGACACCCUUCCCAUCCUGGCUGGACAAGCUUCCCUCACUUGCACCACUGAAUUUAAGUGAAGUGUUCAGCCCAACUUCAACUUCUGGCAGAUUGGAGCUCCAUCUGGGGCACAGGAUGGAAAUAUUCUUUGGUCUAGUGGUAAGCUCCCUUCUCCCCCUCAUCCCAGGCUGAGACCUGGGAACACCAGUUGUUUUAGGGGGUUGGGGCAGUGGUUCUCACCUGG